rnacentral:rRNA from 1 species
CCUACGGGUGGCAGCAGUGAGGAAUAUUGGUCAAUGGGCGCUAGCCUGAACCAGCCAAGCCGCGUGAAGGAUGACUGCCCUAUGGGUUGUAAACUUCUUUUGUAUGGGAAUAAAGUGCAGUAUGCGUACUGCUUUGCAUGUACCUUAUGAAUAAGGAUCGGCUAACUCCGUGCCAGCAGCCGCGGUAAUACGGAGGAUUCGAGCGUUAUCCGGAUUUAUUGGGUUUAAAGGGAGCGUAGGCGGGUGGUUAAGUCAGUUGUGAAAGUUUGCGGCUCAACCGUAAAAUUGCAGUUGAGACUGGUAUGCUUGAGUGUAGUAGAGGUAGGCGGAAUGCGUGGUGUAGCGGUGAAAUGCUUAGAGAUCACGAAGAACUCCGAUUGCGAAGGCAGCCUGCUGGACUGCAACUGACGCUGAGGCACGAAAGUGUGGGUAGCAAACAGGAUUAGAUACCCGUGUAGUC